rnacentral:lncRNA from 1 species
UCUUCUUUAGCUUUCUGGAACAUCUUGAAUCGUCCCAAUCGGAGUUCAUAUGAAAAAGUUAUGAUAUUUUUACUAAACGGACGUUGAACCUCAAAGUUUGGAAGUUGUAAUUUUCACAGCAGUCACUUGGAGCCCAAUUUCGACCUUGAUGCAGAGCGAUUCUCAAAGAAUGCAAGUUAUAAAUCUCGUUGAUAUCUUCGUUUUGAUAGGUAGCAGGCCCCGUAACUCCUCCUAGAUCAAAAAUUAUGCUCGUUUUACCAAAGGACGUCGCAGCAGAAAAUGAAAAUUCGCCCCAGCGAAUUUGAGCGGGAAAAAUCAGGAAAUCUUGGAUUUUUGGAAAGUUUCUAAAUGCAGAUUUUGGUAUACUUCUACAUGGAAUUGGAUUGAUAUUUCUAUUAGCUUUAGGAUUUCCUUUAGACUAAGAUUUAUUCCAAAUUGAAUUCUAUUUCUUUAUGGAAACUAAUUAUGAUUUGUAAUUCCUUUUAGGAUUUGGAUUUCUACUUUCUAUAGGAUUUAAGACUUUGUCUAGCACUAUAAAUAGAGGAUGAGAGUCAAGGUUUUAUUAAUUCAAUAAUCAACUAUCAUCUAUUGGAGUGCAGACUCAAGAGCAUGUCAGGCUAGUUCUUUUUAUUCAGUUCUAAAGGGAGGUGAAUCCUUGUUACAAGUAAUUGAUUAAUUGAGUAUUAUUAUUUAUUCCUUCUUGUGUGAUUUUUUUUUUCUGAUAAUUUGUUUUCAUUGAUUUCAUGCUAAUUGAUCUAAUUAAUUUGAUAUGGCCAAUUGAGUUAGUUUGAUCAUUAUCAUAUGCUAGAUUAAGUUUGGUAUUACGUGUAAUUGAUAUCUCUCUUCAUCACAAGUAGCAACUUGGUAAUAAUAAUUGUGAACAAGCUUUUGUUUAUUGCUAAGAUUAUUAGAAAACAAGUUAAACAAAUCGAGCUUAUGUGUUUGUUGCUUAGAUUAGGCUAAUUCUCUAUUUCUUAAUGCUUCUAUCAUAUUAAAUCUAGAGAGCUUAUUCUAGGUUGUAUGCUAGUUAGAAUCUGGUGGAGAGCUUGUUUCAUACAGUGAUAAUCUAAGGAGAAUUUCGGAUAGCAGAGCUUAUUGUUAUCUAGGGCUAAUAGUUUCAUUGAAGAGAAAAUAAUAAUAACUUGAUUAAUUGAUUGUUGUACUUGGUGAAACUGAACUGCAGAACUGAAGUUUUUACAUCUUUAAUUAAUAUUAUCAUUUAAUUCUUGUUCUCUUAGUUUAAAAACAAUUUUCAAAAACCCCUAAUCUUUAUUUUUCUAUCAAAAUAAUAGAAUAAAUAUAAAACAAAUCUCUCUCUGUGGGAUCGAUCCUUGCUUACUACUGUGCUAAUUGUUUGAAUUUGUAAAGUGAAAGUGAGGUUAAUUUAGGAGUGUAAACGACAGCUCUCAAAUUUUGGCGCCGUUUUCGGGGAGUGUUAUUUGUUUUUGUUUAUUCUUUGUUUUCGUUUAUUUUUAUUAUUUGCUUUUUGUUUUUGUUUUAUGACUCAACCCUCUAACAUUGUUGACUAAAAUUUUGUUUAAGAGAUAGAGAAAACUGCAGAUAGAAAAGAUGUUCUUGUUCCAUCACUUGAAGUGGAAGAGAUGGUGGUGCCACACAAUAACAGAACUUUGAAAGAACUAGCUACUCUUAAUCUGAAUAAACCAUCUUUUUCUAUUGAGUAUCCUACAAUAGAUGUUGCUUUUGAACUUAACUCCGGACUAAUUCGUCUUUUGCCUAUUUUUCGUGGUCUUAUAGGUGAAAAUCCAUAUAAGCAUCUAAAGGAGUUCCAUGUGGUGUGUUCCACGAUGAAAUCACAAGGAGUGACAGAGGAGCAGAUCAAGCUUAGACUUUUUCCAUUCUCCUUAGUGGAUUUGGCUAAAGACUGGUUAUACUAUCUACCAUCAUGAUCAAUACGAUCAUGGACUGAUAUGCAAAGGUUAUUCUUGGAGAGGUAUUUCCUUGCAUCAAGAGUUGCCGAUACAAGGAAGGAGAUAUCUGGAAUUAGGCAGUUCAAUGAAGAAACUCUCUACGAGUAUUGGGAAAGGUUCAAGAAGUUGUGUUCUAGCUGUCCACCUCACGAAAUUGAUGACCAUCACUUGAUCCAGUAUUUCUAUGAGGGGUUGCUACCAAUGGAAAGAAGUAUGAUCGAUGCGGCUAGUGGAGGAGCACUAGUAGAAAAAACUCCAGACGCUGCAAAGAACUUAAUUACAACCAUGGCAGCCAACUCACAGCAGUGUGGUACUAGGAUGACUCAUACAUCACGAAGGGUAAAAGAGGUUAGCACUUGUAAUAUUGAGCAACAAAUUUCUGAAUUAACUGCAAUAGUUCGACAAAUGGUUGUAAGGAAUACGCAAGGUUUUCAGCAAGCUCAACCUCAGUACCACAUAGGAAACCAAGAAGUACCUGUCAAUUCCGGGAUAUCCAUGGAGGAUAUGUUCAAGGCAUUUAUGAUCCAAACACAACAGUUCAUGAGUCAGACAAGAACUUCUGUUCAAGAUUUGAGGGACCAAGUUGGUCAGCUUGCAACCACAGUAGGAAGGUCACUUUCUCAAACUGUUGAAAAUGUAAGUGCCAUAACAUUGAGAUGUGAUGCAGAGGAUCAACAGCAAGGAAAGUCAAUACAAAGCAAGUCCGACAAUAGUGAAACAGGCAGCAGUGAUGUACUCAAGCACAAAUUUCCACCUCUUUCAGCUUAUGAACUGAAACUACCUUUUCCCCAAGUUCUAACAAGGAAUUGGAAAGUUGGAAAGAAUUCAACAUGGUAUACAGAGUCUAAUGAAAAAUUUCUGGAAGAAAUGGCGAAUAGGGAACAAAAACUUAAAGAUAAUGAGGAGUUCACUAGUGGAAACCAGUUGGAAGUUCUUGAGGCUAUUACUAAAUUUGAAGAAGAAAUCAGGUAUUCAAAGUCUGAAAAGGAUGAACAAGAGGACGAGAACAAUUGGAUAAGUUUUACAGAUCUUUACACAGAGGAUAUAGGUGAUACAGCAUUGCAAACAACAAAAACACUACAUGAUACAUACCAUAAGACCUUAACUAUGGAAUUGGAUGAGGCACAUGUCCAGUUCACCACAUAUGAGACUAAAAGGUAUCUUGGUAUUGUUGAUUUUGUUUUUUCUACUGAUGUUGUGGACUCUAUAGUGUAGGAAUCUUUUGAUCAAGUACAAUUAUACGAGAAGGAUUUGAGGGCUGGAAUGGAGCAAAAUCAUGAUCUAAAAGAUGCUCUUAAUGAAGAAUUGAAAUUGUUACCAGUGCACUUGAAGUUCACAAGUCCAAUUACCUAGAAUGAGAAGGAUGAUGUCAAGCCAAUGACAAUAGACAAGGGCAGCUGCUUGGGAGGCAACCCAAGAACUCAGAUUUGAUCUCUUUAUCCCUUUACUUAUUAGUUUUUUUAGUUGCAUGUAGUUUUUUCUUCUUUGCAUGAUUUUCUUACAUUGGGGACAAUGGUAAGGUUUAAGUGUGGGGGGGAAGAUUUAGGUUUUUAUUUUAUUAGGGGAUAUUGAUCCGAUUUCGAUGGGGAAUUUGAAAAAAAUAAUGCUUUUGAAAUUUUUGAAAAUCUUGGAUUCCAUAGUUCUAUUUGCCUAUGUGUUCGAAGGUUAAAGUCAAAGAUUGAAAAUUGAUGCUAAAAUUCAGAAUCUGUUUGAUGCUUAAUUUAUUAAUGAAUGAUAACAACUAAGUCAUGAUCCAUAGUAAUUGAUUUGAAUUGAAUUUGUGAUACAUGAGUACUUGAAUAUGAGAAGCAUGUUUAUUGGGCUAAGUUAUUUGUGGAGUUGUCUAUGUGCACUAAUUUCACGACUUAGAACUAUUUAACUUGCUUAUGUUGUUGCAGAACCAUGAGAAAAAAUGAUGAAUGAAAAAAAAGAGAAAAAAAAAGGAAAAAAAAAUAAGAAAAUUGAAAAUCUGCUUCAAUGUCCAUUGUGCGAAAUAACUGGGUAUCUAAGUCUCGGGAAGCAUCGGUAUUCACGCUGAAAAGUGCGAUGGAUAAAAGCAGCUUGACUAGUCGACUUUUGUGGCCUUUGUUACUUGAAUAAGUAAGCCCUUAGGGGUGUCUCUACACCUAGCGCCCUAAGAUCAUCUGGUUUGGGAGUCGUUGGUGGAAAGUUCGCUAAUGGGUAACUCUGAAAAGCCUAAGAAAAGGAGACAUUGCACAUGUCAAGAAAAAAUAAUACGAAAAAAAGAAGAAGCAUGAAAAUACAUUCAUCUGUGCACGGUUUUUGCUCCAUGGUAACUAAGUUGAGUAAGUAUGAUGAUUUUGGGAAAGUUACAUGUGGCUACAAUUUGAUUUAAUGAAAUUCAUUGGUGAAAUGGUAAAGUUGGUAAUUGUGAGUUAAUUGAUAAGGCGUUGAUUAGAUUUCUGUAAAUUUAGUGUUGAUAGUCAUUAUUUGUAUCUUGAAAUCUUUUGACACUAUGGUUGAAUAGAAUAUUUUGGAAAUCAAACUUUUGGUUUACACGAGGACGUGUAAAAGGCUAAGUGUGGGGGAAUUUGAUGAGUGCAUAUUAUUCAUUUAUUUUGAUUCCAUUAUAUUUAGUUUUAUUGCAUGUUUCAUGUGUAUAUGAGCUUAUUAAGGUGUUUAAUGAUUUCAAGAAGAAUUGGAGCUAAAAUGAGGAAAAAGAGAAAAUUACAGAAUUUUUAGCAUUAAGUUGGAUGCAUGUUCUUAGCUUGGGACUUGAAUUUUAUUGUAGAGAUCUUCUUUAGCUUUCCGGAACAUCUUGAAUCGUCCUAAUUGGAGUUCAUAUGAAAAAGUUAUGAUAUUUUUACUAAACGGACGUUGAACCUCAAAGUUUGGAAGUUAUAAUUUACACAACAGUCACUUGAAACCCGAUUUCGACCUUGAUGCAGAGCGAUUCUGUCGAUUCUCAAAGAAUAAAAGUUGUAGAUCUCGUCGAUAUCUUCGUUUUGAUAGGUAGCAGGCCCCGUAACUCCUCC